rnacentral:snoRNA from 1 species
CUUGCACCUAAACUUAAGAAUCACUGUCUCUAAUACCAGUGGUUUAAACAGAGGUGAAAACAGCAAGUGGAUUGUGUUGCUUUUGGUGAGCUAUGGGAUCAGGAGUUUCUACAUUC